CUUCAAAAAUGAAGGAGGAGCAAGAGGGAGAGAGAAAUACACCAGAGGAAUCAAUGCUAUGUUAGCUAGCUGGCUAUGACUAUCCAACACUGGGUACGUUUUUGUCAAGACAAGGGCCUGAGGUAUGCAGCAUGGAUCCGAGGGCCAAGCGCGUCACGCCGUGAGUGCAGCGCGGCAAGGGACCGAUGGGAGAAGAUAAAUGCGGUGGGACUUUUGGAAGGGAUGGAGGGAGGAGCAGUGUCUUAUUAAAACGACAGCUGGAAGUGACAGCGGAAUGUCACAUUGUUGCCUGAGGGGAAAACAAUGUCAGGGAACCCAGGCUGUGUCGUCAUCUUGGAAACACGUGCCCUUCCCUCUGCUGACUCCAAUACAGCUAAGUACAUUUAAGGCAAAACUUCAAUUUCUUGAACGAUCCUUCUAAUGAUGCUAGGUUCGUGGAGUUGGUUGGGGGUGUCGGCCAUAUUGUUUGCACCUGUCCUAUCCUGUCUCGCCAGACACUCCACACAAGGGGGAGUCAAUGAGGCGAGACGAGAGAAGACACUCGCCGCAAGGGGGAGUCAAUGAGAGCAGACGAGAGGGAAGAAACACCCCAUAAGGCGGAGUCAACGAGGGCAGACGAGAGGGAAGACACACCCCAUAAGGCGAAGUCAACGAGGGCAGACGAGAGGGAAGACACACCCCAAAUUGUGGAGUCAACAAGAGCAGUAGAAAGAAGAAGGGAAGACCUUUGUGGAUUGUAGCGUUGCGAAUAACUGACCCCACCUCCUGACAAGGGGAUGUCUGACGAAGACAAGUCUUCUACAAUAACAAACAUCGGGAUUUGUUCAACCACCAUGCAAGGGAGUUUAAAACCGUGUUUUUUUUUAUUGGGUUCAUAUUCACCUCUUGACAGAGAUACGCACGACUGAACAUGUUCGGCCUCUCUUCGGGUUUAUAACAUGUACAGGGUGUUUUCCAAAAUGAUGCUUCGAAGGGGAAAAUAGGAACCGUUGUGAGUGACUGCCCAACCAUGAAUGAAUGAAUCCAAGAAAACAUAUAUAUAUUUGGGGGGUUUAUACAAAGAACUAUUAUUCACCAAAUAAAAUAAAAUGAAUACACUGCCUUUGUACAUGUAUUGAAUUACUAUGACGAUCUAAAUUUCUCCACAUUCAAUCAAGUCUUCAUUCUGCACAAUUUUUUAAAUGUACAUUUUUUUUAUGUCAAAACUGUCAGAUCCUACAUUAACACGUAUUCAUUGUCUUCAUCCCUAUCAUUCCUCACCAAGAGGGCCUCUGAUACUAUCGUUGAUCUGUUUCCAUACUUCUGCGCUACUGUUUCCUGUUGCUCAAAUCCCUGAGACAAUGAAGCACUUUCCACUGCCAAUAGAAAUGCCAUCAGCAGAGCAAAAUGUAUUGUCUGAAACCAGCUGUGUUUUUCUGAGGUGGGAGUCACAUUUUCAACAUUCAUGAAGGUAUUCACAUCAUCUGAAGAAUUUCAUUCAGACAUGCAUUUAAAUGGUUAUC